AACGCACCUGGCGCUCCCUGGUAUUCCGGGGAGCAUGUCUGUUUGAGUGUCAUUAAAUUCUCAACCUUUCCAGCUUUUUUUGAGCUUGGUCAGGCUUGGAUGUGGGGGUUGCGGGCUUCUCAGAAGUCGGCUCUCCUCAAAUGCAUUAGUGAGACCUUUGUUGACCAUCUCUUGGUGUGAUAAUUAUCUACGCCGCUAGAGUGUCAGCCUCAACUUGUUUGAGAGGUUCCGCUUCUAAUCGUCCUUGGGGACAACUUCUGACAAUUUGACCUCAAAUCAGGCAAGACUACCCGCUGAACUUAA
rnacentral:misc_RNA from 2 species